ensembl:lncRNA
GUGGAAAGCACACACAUGUGCGUGCGUCCAUGUGUGGAGACGCUGCUGUGACCAGGAGAGGAGACUGGAAGGCACUCUACGUGGCCCUGUACAUAUGUACACUAACAUGAAACGUUUUUAUUUAACACACGUGUCCUGGUAAAUAUGAUUUUUGUAGCUUUUUUGUAAAUUAUUUAAAGUGUUGUAAAAAAUAUUUUUGGAAAAUAGAGUUGUCCGGUUUUGUAGGGCGUUCCUAACCGCAGUUCCCCUGUCUCCGUGCAAGUCUGGGUUCUGACCGGCACGGCCCGAGGCUGAGGCUCCGGGUUGGGCGCCGGUGGGCAUGUCCAGUUGUGCCUGCAGCUCAAGCCUGAGGAAGGCAGCAGUUGAUGCCCCCUCGCCCCGAGAGUCACCAGAAUGCCCCCCAGGGUCUCUGUUGGGACAUUUCUGGACGCACUUCUUAUAGAAAGGACCCCCUGGUCCCAAGAGGCCAGAGCAUGUCUUCUGAACACUGCAGUCACAGCCUUCGACUGCGAGCUGUCGCAAAGCACAAUGGCCAGCACACUGACCGCUCCUGUUGCCUGUAGAAAGCCCUGGGGAGAUCUCGGCGGCAGGUCCCUCCAGUCUAGUCCUGAAGCCCCUACUGUCUACGUCCAGUCCUGGUCAAUUGCUCCAUGAUUCUAACAGCUCAGUAAACCUCUUUUUAUAUGAGAGCUACUGUUCUUCAUUUUCAGUCACGGUUCUAAAAGGUAACAACCUGUGCGUUUGAAAUGUUCUUUUCUUGUUCUGUGCCAGCGAAUAAGCAGAGUGGCUGUACGAGUUUUGGUGCCCAGACACCUUGAGCGCCAAUGGCGUGCAGAGCCCGGUAUCCUCCAGGGAGGGGAGCCAGUCGGGGUGUGCUCCAGCAGCUGAGCAGAUGCUGCGGCCGGCUUUCUGAGGGGCUGCCUCCCCGUGUGCAGGACGAGAAGGACCGUUUCCCACACUUGGGCCUAUUUUCCCUGCUCCCGUCCUCUCCCAGGGCCCUCAGGGUCUGAGCACAGAACAGGAGAGAGCAGAGCGUCCUGUGCCUUCCGCCCUGAGGCUGCUGUAGAGACAUGGACACCUGUAUCUUGGGGGCUGGGGGCUGGGCACUGACUGGUCACAACGUUUACAUGCAACUGUCCGGCACACUUUCACCCGUUGUCCAGUUUCACGACUCGCCGUUUCAAUUUAGCCAUGACGGGCCUGGAGCAAGGAUUCUUUGCAGCGAGUGCAGUUGGCAUUCUCACUUGCAAGUGACUUUUCUACACAUUGUGCACCCCUGGGCUUUAGCAGCAAUUCACUUGGGUACCCAAAUGCAGACAUGCACCGGCGCCCACGGUCAGUGUCUGCUGGGUCGGACGCUGCGCCGAGGAGCCCUGUGGACUCCGGGACCGUCCAGUGCCUGCAUGAUGUGUGUUUGAUAUCUCUGUCGUUGAAUAUUUGUUCACAUAAGUGCUUCCGGGAAAAACAAUUCAUGUAACCCAUGCUUUAAAUUUUAUUUAAUUUUUAAGGAGUGCUUUUAACACUCGAAAACAAAAAUCAGCUUGUUUUGUAUAUAAGAACUGUUUUUUUAAUGCUAAUAAAUCCAGC